rnacentral:misc_RNA from 1 species
UACGUACUGUGCGAACGUUAUUCGGAAUCACUGGGCUUAAAGGGUGCGUAGGCGGCCGUUUAAGUAGGGUGUGAAAGGCCUCGGCUCAACCGGGGCAUUGCGCUCUAGACUGGGCGGCUUGAGUGAGAUAGGGGUGUGCGGAACUUCCAGUGGAGCGGUGAAAUGUGUUGAUAUUGGAAGGAACGCCGGUGGCGAAAGCGGCACACUGGGUCUUAACUGACGCUGAGGCACGAAAGCCAGGGGAGCGAACGGG